AUUGAACGCUGGCGGCAUGCUUUACACAUGCAAGUCGAACGGUAACAGGGAGCUUGCUCCGCUGACGAGUGGCGAACGGGUGAGUAAUGCAUCGGAACGUGCCGUGUAAUGGGGGAUAACGUAGCGAAAGUUACGCUAAUACCGCAUACGCCCUGAGGGGGAAAGUGGGGGACCGCAAGGCCUCACGUUAUACGAGCGGCCGAUGUCGGAUUAGCUAGUUGGUGGGGUAAAGGCCUACCAAGGCGACGAUCCGUAGCGGGUCUGAGAGGAUGAUCCGCCACACUGGGACUGAGACACGGCCCAGACUCCUACGGGAGGCAGCAGUGGGGAAUUUUGGACAAUGGGGGCAACCCUGAUCCAGCCAUGCCGCGUGAGUGAAGAAGGCCUUCGGGUUGUAAAGCUCUUUCAGGUGGAAAGAAAUCGCAUCUUUUAAUACAGGGUGUGGAUGACGGUACCAUCAGAAGAAGCACCGGCUAACUACGUGCCAGCAGCCGCUGUAAAAC
rnacentral:rRNA from 1 species